AUUGAACGCUGGCGGCAUGCCUUACACAUGCAAGUCGAACGGUAACAGGUUAAGCUGACGAGUGGCGAACGGGUGAGUAAUGUAUCGGAACGUGCCCAGUCGUGGGGGAUAACUGCUCGAAAGAGCAGCUAAUACCGCAUACGACCUGAGGGUGAAAGCGGGGGAUCGCAAGACCUCGCGCGAUUGGAGCGGCCGAUAUCAGAUUAGGUAGUUGGUGAGGUAAAGGCUCACCAAGCCGACGAUCUGUAGCUGGUCUGAGAGGACGACCAGCCACACUGGGACUGAGACACGGCCCAGACUCCUACGGGAGGCAGCAGUGGGGAAUUUUGGACAAUGGGCGCAAGCCUGAUCCAGCCAUGCCGCGUGCGGGAAGAAGGCCUUCGGGUUGUAAACCGCUUUUGUCAGGGAAGAAAAGGUUCUUGCUAAUACCUGGGACUCAUGACGGUACCUGAAGAAUAAGCACCGGCUAACUACGUG
rnacentral:rRNA from 1 species